CCUACGGGAGGCAGCAGUGAGGAAUAUUGGUCAAUGGACGAGAGUCUGAACCAGCCAAGUAGCGUGAAGGAUGACUGCCCUAUGGGUUGUAAACUUCUUUUAUAUGGGAAUAAAAUGUUCCACGUGUGGGAUUUUGUAUGUACCAUAUGAAUAAGGAUCGGCUAACUCCGUGCCAGCAGCCGCGGUAAUACGGAGGAUCCGAGCGUUAUCCGGAUUUAUUGGGUUUAAAGGGAGCGUAGAUGGGUUGUUAAGUCAGUUGUGAAAGUUUGCGGCUCAACCGUAAAAUUGCAAUUGAUACUGGCAGUCUUGAGUACAGUUGAGGUAGGCGGAAUUCGUGGUGUAGCGGUGAAAUGCUUAGAUAUCACGAAGAACUCCGAUUGCGAAGGCAGCUUACUAAACUGCCACUGACAUUGAUGCUCGAAAGUGUGGGUAUCAAACAGGAUUAGAUACCCUUGUAGUC
rnacentral:rRNA from 1 species